AACUAACACCACAUGUUCUCAUUUAUGUGUGGGAGCAAAAUGGCCACAAAGAUGGAAACAACAGAUGUAGGGGACACUAAUAAAUGGAGAUGUGGCAUUAUCCUUCCUGCUUCUUCCCCAGAAAGGCUGUGAUGUUAUACAAGACACCAAAGAGAUUUGGACAUUGUCUCCUGGAUAUCAUAGGAGGUCAUUUCAGGGUUGUCCGCAUCUCUGAAACCUUCUGAGAUAUCUGACUGCUUCUCCUUGGGCUUCCCUGUCACAGUACCCUAAUCCAACUCACAGCCUCCAGCCAGGACUCUUGGUUAUGCUUACUCUACAUCACC